UUCUUAUUUAAUUCGCUUAUUUAUCAUAUUGCCAUGCAAACUUUCUUGGUCUACCCUUAACCCAAUCCCUUGGCGAAAAGAGCCUAUUACUAAUUAUCAGCUUGCUAUCUCUAGCCUCCCCUAGUAACUAAUAAUGCAUAAUAAACAGAAGCAAAAUACAAUUGAUCGUCAUACCCCUAUCUCUAGGCUAUAUUACCAUAAUCAAGGAAUUCCC
rnacentral:lncRNA from 1 species